rnacentral:rRNA from 1 species
CCCUUAGAUGUUCUGGGCUGCACACGUGCUACACUGGCAGGUUCAGCGAGCUUCAUGCCCUGAUCUGAAAGGAAUGGGAAAUCUUUUCAAAACCUGCCGUGCUUGGGAUAGAUGUUUGCAAUUAUUCAUCUUCAACGAGGAUUGCCUUGUAAGCGCACGUCAUCAGCGUGCAUUGAAUACGACCCUGUAUUCUGUACACACCGCCCGUCGCUCCUACCGAUUGAAGUUUUCGGUGAGUUGAUAGGAGGAUUUUUUUGAAACUGGUUCGCCAGUGGAUUUUAGAUCCAAAUGCCAACGAAUCGAUGGCUUUAGAGGAAGGAGAAGUCGUAACA